GAUGAACGCUGGCGGCGUGCUUAACACAUGCAAGUCGAACGGACUGAGGGAGCUUGCUCCCAAAGUUAGUGGCGGACGGGUGAGUAACGCGUGGGUAACCUGCCCUAUGCAGGGGGAUAACGUUUGGGAACGAACGCUAAUACCGCAUAAUCGCGUUGGUUCGCAUGUACUGAUUAGCAACGCUUUUAUCGGCAUAGGAUGGACCAGCGUUAGAUUAGCUAGUUGGUGAGAUAACAGCCCACCAAGGCAACGAUCUAUAGCCGGCCUGAGAGGGUGGACGGCCACACUGGGACUGAGACACGGCCCAGACUCCUACGGGAGGCAGCAGUGGGGAAUAUUGCACAAUGGGCGCAAGCCUGAUGCAGCGACGCCGCGUGAAGGAUGAAGGUCUUCGGAUCGUAAACUUCUAUCAGCAGGGAAGAAUACCAUGACGGUACCUGACUAAGAAGCCCCGGCUAACUACGUGCCAGCAGCCGCCGUAAUAC
rnacentral:rRNA from 1 species